rnacentral:tRNA from 1 species
GGUAAAAUGGCUGAAAAUAGGCAAUAAAUUGUAAAUUUAUUUAUGAAAGUAAUUUCUUUUAUCA